UACGUAGGGCGCAAGCGUUGUCCGGAAUUAUUGGGCGUAAAGAGCUCGUAGGCGGCUUGUCACGUCGAUUGUGAAAGCUCGGGGCUUAACCCCGAGUCUGCAGUCGAUACGGGCUAGCUAGAGUGUGGUAGGGGAGAUCGGAAUUCCUGGUGUAGCGGUGAAAUGCGCAGAUAUCAGGAGGAACACCGGUGGCGAAGGCGGGUCUCUGGGCCGAUACUGACGCUGAGGAGCGAAAGCGUGGGGAGCAAACAGG
rnacentral:rRNA from 1 species